CACAUGACUCUCGGCAAUGGAUAUCUCGGCUCUCACAUCAAUGAAGAAAGUAGCGAAAUGUGAUACUUGGUGUGAAUUGUAGAAUCUCGUGUACCAUCGAGUCUUUGAAAGCAAGUUGUGCCAGAAGCUGUCAGGCCAAGGGCACAUCUGCCUGGGCAUCACCC
rnacentral:rRNA from 1 species